rnacentral:rRNA from 1 species
CUACGGGGUGCUCCAGUGAGGAAUAUUGCACAAUGGGGGGAACCCUGAUGCAGCAACGCCGCGUGGAGGAUGACGCAUUUCGGUGUGUAAACUCCUUUUAUAUGUCAAGAAAAUGACGGUAGCAUAUGAAUAAGCACCGGCUAACUCCGUGCCAGCAGCCGCGGUGAAUACGGAGGGUGCAAGCGUUACUCGGAAUCACUGGGCGUAAAGGACGCGUAGGCGGGUUGGAAAGUCAGGUGUGAAAUCCUACAGCUUAACUGUAGAACUGCACUUGAAACUUCUAAUCUAGAGUAUGGGAGGGGGAGAUGGAAUUAGUGGUGUAGGGGUAAAAUCCGUAGAUAUCACUAGGAAUACCUAAAGCGAAGGCGAUCUCCUGGGACAUUACUGACGCUAAGGCGUGAAAGCGUGGGGAGCAAACAGGAUUAGAUACCCGGGUAGUC